rnacentral:rRNA from 1 species
GUCGCUAACGAGCGCAACCCUCGCUGUGUGUUAUAUGUGUCACAUGGGACUGCCGGCCUUAAGCCGGAGGAAGUGGGGAUGAUGUCAAGUCAGUAUGGCCUUUAUGUCCUGGGCUACACACACGCUACAAUGGUCAGCACAAUGGGUCGCUAAGCCGCAAGGUGGAGCCAAUCCUCAAAGUUGGCCUCAGUUCAGAUUGUAGGCUGCAACUCGCCUGCAUGAAGAUGGAGUUGCUAGUAAACGCAGGUCAGCUAUACUGCGUUGAAUACGUUCCCGGGGCUU